rnacentral:rRNA from 1 species
AUUCCAGCUCCAAUAGCGUAUAUUAAAGUUGUUGCCGUUAAAAAGCUCGUAGUCGAACUUCGGGUCCUGUCCGCCGGUCCGCCUUCUUGGUGUGUACUUGUUGGAUGGGACCUUACCUCCUGGUGAACAGCGAUGUCCUUUACUGGGUGUCGUUGCAAACCAGGACGUUUACUUUGAAAAAAUUAGAGUGUUCAAAGCAGGCCUUUGCCCGAAUACAUUAGCAUGGAAUAAUAGAAUAGGACGCGCGUUCCCAUUUUGUUGGUUUCUGAGAUCGCCGUAAUGAUUAAUAGGGAUAGUUGGGGGCAUUUGUAUUCCGACGUCAGAGGUGAUAUACUUGGAUUGCCGGAAGACAAACUACUGCGAAAGCAUUUGCCAAGGAUGUUUUCAUCA